CACGAUCGGUGUGGUGGACUUGGAUUUGGGCGUUGCCAGGAAACCGGCUCGCCUUAAAGACGUUAGUGGGAAGGGUUCCCUCUUGGCCUGACGUAAUAAGUUUCGUCUGACCUCGGGAUCUCACGCCGGCUUCCAACCCGCCCUCGGGCAUUACUUUUGUCAUGGACCUCAAAUCAGGUAGGACUACCCGCUGAACUUAA
rnacentral:misc_RNA from 1 species